rnacentral:tRNA from 1 species
UCCCUGGCGGUCCAGUGGUUAGGACUCGGGACUUUCACUGCUCUCGGCCCAGGUUCGAUUCCUGGUCAGGGAA